AUUGAACGCUGGCGGCAUGCUUUACACAUGCAAGUCGAACGGUAACAGGCCUUCGGGCGCUGACGAGUGGCGAACGGGUGAGUAAUGCAUCGGAACGUGCCCAGUCGUGGGGGAUAACGCAGCGAAAGCUGUGCUAAUACCGCAUACGAUCUAUGGAUGAAAGCGGGGGACCGGAAGGCCUCGCGCGAUUGGAGCGGCCGAUGUCAGAUUAGGUAGUUGGUGGGGUAAAGGCUCACCAAGCCAACGAUCUGUAGCUGGUCUGAGAGGACGACCAGCCACACUGGGACUGAGACACGGCCCAGACUCCUACGGGAGGCAGCAGUGGGGAAUUUUGGACAAUGGGCGCAAGCCUGAUCCAGCAAUGCCGCGUGCAGGAAGAAGGCCUUCGGGUUGUAAACUGCUUUUGUACGGAGCGAAAAGGCUCUCUCUAAUACAGGGGGCUCAUGACGGUACCGUAAGAAUAAGCACCGGCUAACUACGUGCCAGCCGCCGCAGUAAAAC
rnacentral:rRNA from 1 species